rnacentral:pre_miRNA from 1 species
GGAACCAGAGAGAAUCCGGAGUGCUGGGUUCAGGAACUUCACACUGGUUCUCUCUGGCUCUCC